rnacentral:lncRNA from 1 species
GCCGGGAGUCUAGGUCUCGCGAACGCGCCAGGAGCGACUCGGAGGCGGGAGCGCGCCCAGUAGAUGACAAAGUACGAGGGUUUCGAUGACAAGCACUACAUCUGCUUGCACUCCAGCAGCCUCAGGCUGUACCACAAAGGCAUAGUAGAUGGAGCCAUUCUCCCUACAGAGACACGAUUGCCCUGUUCAACGCGCCCACAUUGGUUGGAACCUACAAUUUAUUCCUCUGAAGAAGAUGGCCUCAGCCGAGCUGCCUCAGAUGGUGUUGGGGGAGACAACUUGAAUAUGCUCUCUGUUGCAGUGAAGAUACUGUCGGAUAAAUCAGAGUCCAACACGAAGGAGUUCCUUGUGGCUGUGGGGCUGAAAGGAGCCAC